rnacentral:rRNA from 1 species
UCCUACGGGAGGCAGCAGUGGGGAAUCUUAGACAAUGGGGGCAACCCUGAUCUAGCCAUGCCGCGUGAGUGAUGAAGGCCUUAGGGUCGUAAAGCUCUUUCGCCUGUGAUGAUAAUGACAGUAGCAGGUAAAGAAACCCCGGCUAACUCCGUGCCAGCAGCCGCGGUAAUACGGAGGGGGUUAGCGUUGUUCGGAAUUACUGGGCGUAAAGCGCGCGUAGGCGGAUUAGAAAGUUGGGGGUGAAAUCCCGGGGCUCAACCCCGGAACUGCCUCCAAAACUACUAGUCUAGAGUUCGAGAGAGGUGAGUGGAAUUCCGAGUGUAGAGGUGAAAUUCGUAGAUAUUCGGAGGAACACCAGUGGCGAAGGCGGCUCACUGGCUCGAUACUGACGCUGAGGUGCGAAAGUGUGGGGAGCAAACAGGAUUAGAUACCCUGGUAGUCCACACCGUAAACGAUGAAUGCCAGUCGUCGGGGCGCUUGCGCUUCGGUGACACACCUAACGGAUUAAGCAUUCCGCCUGGGGAGUACGGUCGCAAGAUUAAAACUCAAAGGAAUUGACGGA